AAAUGAAUUGACGGGGACCCGCACAAGCGGCGGAGCAUGCGGAUUAAUUCGAUGCAACGCGAAGAACCUUACCAAGACUUGACAUAUAGAGGAAACGUCUGGAAACAGUCGCCCCGCAAGGUCUCUAUACAGGUGGUGCAUGGUUGUCGUCAGCUCGUGUCGUGAGAUGUUGGGUUAAGUCCCGCAACGAGCGCAACCCUCGUUCUAUGUUGCCAGCACGUAAUGGUGGGAACUCAUGGGAUACUGCCGGGGUCAACUCGGAGGAAGGUGGGGAUGACGUCAAAUCAUCAUGCCCCUUAUGUCUUGGGCUUCACGCAUGCUACAAUGGCCGGUACAAAGGGCUGCAAUACCGCAAGGUGGAGCGAAUCCCAAAAAGCCGGUCCCAGUUCGGAUUGAGGUCUGCAACUCGACCUCAUGAAGUCGGAGUCGCUAGUAAUCGCAGAUCAGCAACGCUGCGGUGAAUACGUUCCCGGGUCUUGUACACACCGCCCGU
rnacentral:rRNA from 1 species